rnacentral:rRNA from 1 species
GAGAGCGGCGUACGGGUGCGGAACACGUGUGCAACCUGCCUUUAUCAGGGGGAUAGCCUUUCGAAAGGAAGAUUAAUACCCCAUAAUAUUUAGAAUGGCAUCAUUUUAAAUUGAAAACUCCGGUGGAUAGAGAUGGGCACGCGCAAGAUUAGAUAGUUGGUGAGGUAACGGCUCACCAAGUCUGCGAUCUUUAGGGGGCCUGAGAGGGUGAUCCCCCACACUGGUACUGAGACACGGACCAGACUCCUACGGGAGGCAGCAGUGAGGAAUAUUGGACAAUGGGUGGGAGCCUGAUCCAGCCAUCCCGCGUGAAGGAUGACGGCCCUAUGGGUUGUAAACUUCUUUUGUAUAGGGAUAAACCUAGAUACGUGUAUCUAGCUGAAGGUACUAUACGAAUAAGCACCGGCUAACUCCGUGCCAGCAGCCGCGGUAAUACGGAGGGUGCAAGCGUUAUCCGGAUUUAUUGGGUUUAAAGGGUCCGUAGGCGGAUCUGUAAGUCAGUGGUGAAAUCUCACAGCUUAACUGUGAAACUGCCAUUGAUACUGCAGGUCUUGAGUGUUGUUGAAGUAGCUGGAAUAAGUAGUGUAGCGGUGAAAUGCAUAGAUAUUACUUAGAACACCAAUUGCGAAGGCAGGUUACUAAGCAACAACUGACGCUGAUGGACGAAAGCGUGGGGAGCGAACAGGAUUAGAUACCCUGGUAGUCCACGCCGUAACGAUGCUAACUCGUUUUUGGAGCGCAAGCUUCAGAGACUAAGCGAAAGUGAUAAGUUAGCCACCUGGGGAGUACGAACGCAAGUUUGAAACUCAAAGGAAUUGACGGGGGCCCGCACAAGCGGUGGAUUAUGUGGUUUAAUUCGAUGAUACGCGAGGAACCUUACCAAGGCUUAAAUGGGAAAUGACAGGCUUAGAAAUAGGCUUUUCUUCGGACAUUUUUCAAGGUGCUGCAUGGUUGUCGUCAGCUCGUGCCGUGAGGUGUUAGGUUAAGUCCUGCAACGAGCGCAACCCCUGUCACUAGUUGCCAUCAUUAAGUUGGGGACUCUAGUGAGACUGCCUACGCAAGUAGAGAGGAAGGUGGGGAUGACGUCAAAUCAUCACGGCCCUUACGCCUUGGGCCACACACGUAAUACAAUGGCCGGUACAGAGGGCAGCUACACAGUGAUGUGAUGCAAAUCUCGAAAGCCGGUCUCAGUUCGGAUUGGAGUCUGCAACUCGACUCUAUGAAGCUGGAAUCGCUAGUAAUCGCGCAUCAGCCAUGGCGCGGUGAAUACGUUCCCGGGCCUUGUACACACCGCCCGUCAAGCCAUGGAAGUCUGGGGUACCUGAAGUCGGUGACCGUACACAGGAGCUG